GUCAGACUGGUCGAACGCACAUUGCG
rnacentral:rRNA from 1 species